rnacentral:rRNA from 1 species
UUACGGAAGGGCUGUAUUUAUUGGAUACCAAAACCAUCCUUCCCUCGGGAAGUUUUGUUUGAUGAUUCACAAUAACUGAUCGGAUCGCCACUGUGGUGGCGACAGGUCAUUCAACAUUCUGCCCUAUCAGCUUUCGAUGGUUGUGUAGUGGACAACCAUGGCCAUAACGGGUAACGGAGAAUCAGGGUUCGAUUCCGGAGAAGGAGCUUGAGAAUUGGCUACUACAUCUAAGGAAGGCAGCAGGCGCGCAAAUUACCCAAUCCCGAUUCGGGGAGGUAGUGACAAAAAAUAACAAUACCGGGCCUUUUUGGGCUUGGUAAUUGGAAUGAGGGAGAGUUAAACGGACCAUCGAGUAUCCAUUGGAGGGCAAGUCUGGUGCCAGCAGCUGCGGUAAUACCAGCUCCAAUAGCGUAUAUUAAAGUUGUUGCAGUUAAAAAGCUCGUAGUUGGACUUGUGUGCGCUGUCCGCGGGUGGCCUGCGCCCAAAAGGGCGUUUCGGUUCGGCCCCGGUGGCGCCUUGAAAUCUGCAGCUGGGGGGACGUUGGCCUUAACUGGUCGGCGACCGCACGCCGGCUGCUCGGUUACUGUGAGAAAAUUAGAGUGUUCAAGGCAGGCAUUGGGUGCAAUUGAAUACAUUAGCAUGGAAUAAUAAAAUAUGGCUCCUGCCGUAUUUUGUUGGUUUUGACUGGUGGGAGUAAUGAUUGAUAGGGACGGUUGGGGGUGCUAGUAUUGAGCGGCCAGAGGUGAAAUUCAUGGAUUCGCUCAAGACUAACUUAUGCGAAAGCAUUCACCAAGGACGUCCUCUUUAAUCAAGAACGAAAGUUGGGGGAUCGAAGACGAUCAGAUACCGUCGUAGUCUCAACCAUAAACUAUGUCGACUUGGGAUCGGCGGUAGUUUUUUCAUUAAGACACUGUCGGGACCACGGGAGAAAUCAAAGUGUCUGGACUCUGGGGGAAGUAUGGUCGCAAGGCUGAAACUUGAAGGAAUUGACGGAAGGGCACCACCAGGAGUGGAGCCUGCGGCUUAAUUUGACCCAACACGGGGAAACUUACCAGGUCCAGAGAUGUAGAGGAUUGACAGAUUGAAGCUCUUUCUUGAUCACUUCGGUGGUGGUGCAUGGCCGUUCUUAGUUGGUGGAGUGAUUUGUCUGGUUAAUUCCGUUAACGAACGAGACCUCAGCCUGCUAGUGUAGUCGGCUGGAUUGCCUUUGGCGAUCCGUGAUUUCGACUUCUUAGA